AGGUCAUCCCAUUUACGUGCUGUCCUCUCUUAGGAUAGACAGUAUAUUGCCAGUCUCACCCAUAAUGUGCUGAGUUGUGUUGUAGGAGUAUGUGGCUUGUUUACUUGUUCAACCAUGUUUUCUGAUUCAAAGAUAUCAUAUGUUGCUGUCAAGUAUUUUUAGUCUGAGCUUCUUAAUAUCCAGUUUACUUUGCAGUCUUGGUUUCCCCAACUAAAAAUAGCUCUAAGACAACAAUAGCUUUUAGGUGGUUCCACUUUUUGGAUUAGACAUGAUUUGUUAAAAAAAGCAGCAACAUGUGAUGGUAGUUUGGUGCCUUCAUUCCAGAAGGAUCUUGGAGAGAUUUACUAGCCUGCACUGAGUCUCACCACCUGCUCCUGUGAUACAGCUAGCUCUCCGCUGUGACACGGCAUUCCUCUUCUUCAAGGACCAUCAGAGCAGAUUAUCUUUUCUGGUUCAGAGAUAUUUUUUUCUGGCUGGGAUUUUUUUCUUUUUUUGGUAGGUAGAAUGAGCUAGAUUAGAAUUUGGCCUGAACCCUAAAGUGAAACAAACUUCCAGCUGAGAAAGAUCAUGGAGGCUUCCUUCACACCCCUCCAAAAGUGCAAGUGGAAAUUUGAGCGUGUUACCGCUUGAACAGUGGGAGUUGUGUCAACAUAGCAUCUACACACUCAUUGCUGCAACCCAGUAAGUUCUGUGGCUGUGAGAGCAUUGCAGCAGAUUCAGUAUGAAGCAACAUGCGCAAUUGACCCUGCGUUGUCUCCAUAUGCAGUGAGGAGAUCACACGGGAAAGUGCACAUAUACCAGAAUCGUGCUUCAGCUGUGGGUCCUCUGCUGGUAUUUUAUGCUGCCUCGGCCACCUCUGCCAUCACUGUUCUGGUC